rnacentral:rRNA from 1 species
GAUGAACGCUGGCGGCGUACCUAAUACAUGCAAGUCGAGCGAACAGACGAGGAGCUUGCUCCUCUGACGUUAGCGGCGGACGGGUGAGUAACACGUGGAUAACCUACCUAUAAGACUGGGAUAACCUCGGGAAACCGGAGCUAAUACCGGAUAAUAUAUUGAACCGCAUGGUUCAAUAGUGAAAGACGGUUUUGCUGUCACUUAUAGAUGGAUCCGCGCCGCAUUAGCUAGUUGGUAAGGUAACGGCUUACCAAGGCAACGAUGCGUAGCCGACCUGAGAGGGUGAUCGGCCACACUGGAACUGAGACACGGUCCAGACUCCUACGGGAGGCAGCAGUAGGGAAUCUUCCGCAAUGGGCGAAAGCCUGACGGAGCAACGCCGCGUGAGUGAUGAAGGUCUUCGGAUCGUAAAACUCUGUUAUUAGGGAAGAACAAAUGUGUAAGUAACUAUGCACGUCUUGACGGUACCUAAUCAGAAAGCCACGGCUAACUACGUG